rnacentral:rRNA from 1 species
UGCCAGUCGAGCGGAUGAAUGGAGCUUUGCUCCAUGAUUCAGCGGCGGACGGGUGAGUAAUGCCUAGGAAUCUGCCUGGUAGUGGGGGACAACGUUUCGAAAGGAACGCUAAUACCGCAUACGUCCUACGGGAGAAAGUGGGGGAUCUUCGGACCUCACGCUAUCAGAUGAGCCUAGGUCGGAUUAGCUAGUUGGCGAGGUAAAGGCUCACCAAGGCGACGAUCCGUAACUGGUCUGAGAGGAUGAUCAGUCACACUGGAACUGAGACACGGUCCAGACUCCUACGGGAGGCAGCAGUGGGGAAUAUUGGACAAUGGGCGAAAGCCCUGAUCCAGCCAUGCCGCGUGUGUGAAGAAGGUCUUCGGAUUGUAAAGCACUUUAAGUUGGGAGGAAGGGCAGUAAGUUAAUACCUUGCUGUUUUGGCGUUACCGACAGAAUAAGCACCGGCUAACUUCGUGCCAGCGGCCGCGGUAAUACGAAGGGUGCAAGCGUUAAUCG